GGAGGAGCUGCACCUUGGGGUGGCUAGGUCCAUCCAGGCGUUUUACACAGCUGAAUGGUUACCAUGGAGAUUAAAGGAUUUCUCAAACAUGCAUGAA